rnacentral:lncRNA from 1 species
CUCAGGUCACUGCUGUGACAUGGGUUCAAACCCUGGCCCAGGAAUUUCUAAAUGCUACGGGCAAAGCCAAAACAAAAAUUACACUUCAAUGAAUCUAAGCCAAAAUUUUAAAAAAACAGAUACUAUAUAGUGAAAAAAUCAAAAUCAGGAUAUAAAUAUAAUAUUAAGACAACAAAAGGACCAGUAGUGAGUAUGUAUAUAAUAUAUGUGAACUCAGGGUGGGGGGGUAUAUGUAUAUGAAGAAGAGUUAAAUCCUCAUCAUCCAGGGUGGCUAAUCAAUAGUUAACAGCCAACAUUGUGGUGGCUGUGGUUUAGGCCAGCAGCUGCAGCUCUGAUUCAACCCCAGGCCUAGAACUUUCAUAUGCCACAGGUACAGCCCUAAAAAAGAAAAAAGAAAGAAAGAAAAGAAAAGAUAAUGGCUAAAACUUAAAAAUAAAAAAGCUAGGAGCUCUCUUAUAGCAGGUUGAGGAUUCGGCAUUGUCACUGCAGCAGCUGGGAUCACUAUUAUGGGGCAGACUCAAUCUCCUGCCCAGGAACAUGCUGCAGGUGUGGCCAAAAAAAAAAAAAAAAAGAGGUUAUACUAGCAUAUAAUUUAAAUAUAUGGAGUUAACAGAAUAAUCAAAUGGAAAUUCAAAGUGAUUUAGUUGCCUUUGAGAGUGGAAAACUAAGGGGUAAGGGAAAUCAGACAUGUGAGUUUUUUCUUUUUUCUUUUUUUUCUUUUUUUGGUCUUUUUGCCUUUUUAGGGCCGAACCCAUGGCAUAUGGCCCUAGAAAUGACAAAACAAACAAACAAAAAAAGUACAAAAAUGGGGAUGGGGAGAUUUCUAAAUAUGAAUGAAAAGCAUAUUCCCUACAUCCAAAUGUUAUUGUAAAUAAACAAUAGGCAGCCAUCUAGUAUAAAACUGUAACAUUGUCAGCUGGAAUCUCUGAGACUGGGGCACUGUUUACAGAAGGAAUAAGUCUUUAGUUCCACCCCUACCAAUGGAUAAGACUGAAACUACUGCACUACCAAAACCUGAAAUGUAGUAUAACAAAGAUGGGUCCUAACUAUCUAUGCUUCCACCAAACUGUAGCCUUCCUCUAACCUACACUGUAAGUCUAUAUGACAAGCCCUGAAUCCUGUUAGAACAGGAGUCUUGUCCUGAACAUCAAUCCUUUAGUUCAGGUCCUGCUCCAAUCUGAACCAACCAUCAGGGGACCACAAUGCUAAUAUCUGUCCACCCGAAUAACUGCCUAGAGGUUUCCUGCUGAAAUGCUCUGACUACCAUUUUGGAUUCCAACCCUCUGAAGCCCAAGCCAGAUCGGGCAUAUAUCUGCUCUGUCCCCUAUCCCCAAACAUGAAUUUUAGGCCAGUGGUUUUCAAGCCUUUAGAAGAGUUUAUACUCUUAAAAGUACUAAAGAUCCAAAGAGCUUUAGUUAAUUUAUUCACUACCUUAGAAAGUAAACUUAAAAACUUUUAAA